UACAGAGGGUGCAAGCGUUAAUCGGAAUUACUGGGCGUAAAGCGUGCGUAGACGGUCAUGUAAGUCGGGUGUGAAAUCCCCGGGCUCAACCUGGGAACUGCAUUUGUGACUGCAUGGCUAGAGUGCGGCAGAGGGGGAUGGAAUUCCGCGUGUAGCAGUGAAAUGCGUAGAUAUGCGGAGGAACACCGAUGGCGAAGGCAAUCCCCUGGGCCUGCACUGACGCUCAUGCACGAAAGCGUGGGGAGCAAACAGG
rnacentral:rRNA from 1 species